rnacentral:misc_RNA from 1 species
GCAAACUUGGUCAUUUAGAGGAAGUAAAAGUCGUAACAAGGUUUCCGUAGGUAAGUGUGGAAGCUUUCUGCCUUGUACUAUCUUUCUAUGCUGGAAUAAUGCGCUGACUUCUCCCUCUUAGGUGAACCUGCGGAAGGAUCAUUACUGAGAGUAACUCUUUAUAAGAGUGCCUCCCGUCCUUUGCGGGCCCCUUUAUGGGGCUUUUUGACUUUGCUUCGGCGGGGCUACCCCGCCGGAACACCCUCAAAAAAAUCUCGAAAAAAACCGUUCAGUCCGAGGGCUUGCGAAUAAAUAAAAAACUUUCAACAACGGAUCUCUUGGUUCUGGCAUCGAUGAAGAACGCAGC